CCUACGGGAGGCUGCAGUCGAGAAUCAUUCACAAUGGGGGAAACCCUGAUGGUGCGACGCCGCGUGGGGGAAUGAAGGUCUUCGGAUUGUAAGCCCCUGUCAUGUGGGAGCAAAUUAAUAAGAUAGUACCACAAGAGGAAGAGACGGCUAACUCUGUGCCAGCAGCCGCGGUAAUACAGAGGGGUCAAGCGUUAUUCGGAAUCACUGGGCGUAAGGCGUGCGUAGGCGGUUUCGUAAGUCGUGUGUGAAAGGCGCGGGAUCAACCCGGGGACGGCACAUGAUACUGCGGGGCUAGAGUAAUGGAGGGGGAACCGGAAUUCGCGGUGUAGCAGUGAAAUGCGUAGAGA
rnacentral:rRNA from 1 species